CUGACCUAUGGACUCAUGGGAUGUUCUGAAGAUUAAUGUGUCUCUUUCAGGGCACUAAGGUACAUUUAGAGCACUAAAGAAGUCAUUUACUAAAUGGUGCCCUUGGGACUUGAAAGAGUUAAUGUACCUCUCACAAGCCUCUGGCUCCAAUGACUGCCAUCCAAAGAAUGAGAAGGAAGAAACAAUUUGGAGAGCAAGAGAUGCUGUUUGCUAGGGGCACAGAACACGACAGCCAGUUGGAAGUCAUUAAAUUACAAGUACCUGAUUGUUCCUGAAUGUAUGGCUCUCCGGACUUCUGCAUCUACUGAUAAUGUUCUUUCAAAAACUGACUUAAUUUUUUAAAAAU